UACGGGGGGGGCAAGCGUUGUUCGGAAUUACUGGGCGUAAAGGGCUCGUAGGUGGCCAACUAAGUCAGACGUGAAAUCCCUCGGCUUAACCGGGGAACUGCGUCUGAUACUGGAUGGCUUGAGUUCGGGAGAGGGAUGCGGAAUUCCAGGUGUAGCGGUGAAAUGCGCAGAUAUCAGGAGGAACACCGGUGGCGAAGGCGGGUCUCUGGGCCCGAUGACUGACGCUGAGGAGCGAAAGCGUGGGGAGCGAACAGG
rnacentral:rRNA from 1 species